AGGCUACUGCUAUCAGAGUUCGAUUAAGCCAUGUUAGUCGAGGGUGCUUCUUCUUCUUCGGAGGGGGUAAGUAACCCGGCAGACGGCUCAGUAACACGUGGACAACUUGUCCUUUGGACCGGGAUAACCCCUGGGAAACUGGGGCUAAUACCGGAUAGAGCAUUGAUCGCUGGAAUGCAUGAUGCUCGAAAGCUGAGGUGCCAAAGGUUAGGUCUGCGACUGAUUAGGUUGUUGUUGAUGUAACGGAUCAACAAGCCUCCGAUCGGUAUGGGUUGUGAGAGCAAUAGCCCAGAGAUGGGUUCUGAGAGAAGAACCCAGGUCCUACGGGACGCAUCAGGCGCGAAAACUUUACAAUGUGCGAAAGCACGAUAAGGGGAACUUGUGAGGUGCCUCCCAAGGAGGCUUUUCAGGUGUCUAAAACGCAUCUGAAGUAAGGGCUGGGCAAGACCCGGUGCCAGCCGCCGCGGUAACACCGGCAGCCCAAGUGGUGGCCACUUUUACUGGGUCUAAAGCGUCCGUAGCCGGCCGGGUAAGUUCCUUGGGAAAUUUAACCGCUUAACGAUAAACUUCCAGAGAAUACUGCCUGGCUUGGGACCGGGAGAGGUCAGAGGUACCUCAAGGGUAGGGGUGAAAUCCGUUAAUCCUUGGGGANCGCCAGUAGCGAANGCGUCUGGCCAGACCGGAUCCGACGGUGAGGGACGAAGGCUAGGNUAGCGNACCGGANUAGAUANCCGGGUAGUNCUAGCUGUNAACGAUGCNGGCUAGGUGNUNGCANUACUGCGAGUGAUGCNAGUGCCGAANNGAAGNCGNUNAGCCCGCCAUCUGGGGAGUACGGUCGCAAGGCUGAAACUUAAAGGAAUUGGCGGGGGAGCACUACAACGGGUGGAGCUGCGGUUCAAUUGGAUUCAACGCCGGAAAACUCACCGGAGGCGACAGCGAGAUGAAGGUCAGGUUGAAGACCUUACCGGAUUAGCUGAGAGGUGGCGCAUGGCCGUCGGCAGUUCGUGUCGUGAGACAUCCUGUUCCCCCAGGCACCCGGCGAGACCCGCGCUCACAGUUGCCAGCAUCUCCUUCGGGAGAAUGGGCACUCUGUGAGGACUGCCGCCGCUAAGGUGGAGGAAGAAGCGGGCCACGGUAGGUCAGUAUGCCCCGAAUCCUCCGGGCUACACGCGUGCUACAAUGGGUGGUACAAUGGGUAUCGACCCCGAAAGGGGGAGGUAAUCUCCUAAAGCUGCCCCAAGUUGGGACCCAGGCCUGCAACUCGCCCUCGUGAACCUGGAAUCCGUAGUAAUCGCCCCUCAAAAUGGGGCGGUGAAUAUGUCCCUGCUCCUUGCACACACCGCCCGUCAAGCCAGCCGAGUGGGAUUUAGGUGAGGCCAUCUUUUCUUGGGGUGUUCGAACCUAAGUCUCGUAAGGGGGGCU
rnacentral:rRNA from 1 species